AGCUUUGAACCUAAGCGCCAGUAAACGGCGGCCGUAACUAUAACGGUCCUAAGGUAGCGAAAUUCCUUGUCGGGUAAGUUCCGACCUGCACGAAUGGCGUAACGACUUGGGCACUGUCUCAACCAGGGACUCGGCGAAAUUGCAGUACGAGUAAAGAUGCUCGUUACCCGCAGCAGGACGGAAAGACCCCGGGACCUUUACUGCAGCUUGAUGUUGGGUUUUGGCAUGUGUUGCGUAGGAUAGGUGGGAGGCUGUGAAGCGUGGCUUUCGGGCCGCGUGGAGCCAUCCUUGAAAUACCACCCUUCACUAGUUGAGACUCUAACCCAGGCCCGUGAUCCGGGUCGGGGACAGCGUCUGGUGGGCAGUUUAACUGGGGCGGUUGCCUCCCAAAAGGUAACGGAGGCGCCCAAAGGUUCCCUCAGUCUGGUUGGCAAUCAGACGUCGAGUGCAAGGGCACAAGGGAGCUUGACUGUGAGACCGACGGGUCGAGCAGGAGCGAAAGCUGGGCCUAGUGAUCCGACGACUCCGUGUGGAAGGGUCGUCGCUAAACGGCUAAAAGGUACCCCGGGGAUAACAGGCUGAUCCUGCCCAAGAGUCCAUAUCGACGGAGCGGUUUGGCACCUCGAUGUCGGCUCGUCUCAUCCUGGGGCUGGAGCAGGUCCCAAGGGUCGGGCUGUUCGCCCGUUAAAGAGGCACGCGAGCUGGGUUUAGAACGUCGUGAGACAGUUCGGUCCCUAUCCGCUGUGGGCGUAAGAGAUCUGAGAGGAGCUACCCCUAGUACGAGAGGACCGGGGUGGACGAACCUCUGGUGUGCCAGUUGUCGCGCCAGCGGCAUGGCUGGUUGGCCACGUUCGGGAUGGAUAAGCGCUGAAAGCAUCUAAGUGCGAAGCCGGCCUCGAGAUGAGAUCUCUCACCGGGUCAACCGGGUAAGGCCCCUGGCAGACCACCAGGUUGAUAGGCCGGAAGUGGAAGCACGGCAACGUGUGGAGCUGACCGGUACUAAUAGGCCGAGGGCUUGACUCU
rnacentral:rRNA from 1 species